UGCAUGCAAACAAGCGUUUCAGUAGUUCCAGCUAAUGACAGCUUGUUUUUCAGGCUGGGUAGAGACAGGUAAGUCCUUUAGUAAACUCACAAAGGCUGACAGCACCAAGACAGCUGCUCAGGUGUGGAACAGAACAGAAACCUUCCACAUGUUCUUUCCAUCUCCUCUCUCCUGAGAGUCUUUGUCCUGUACAAUCAGGGAUAAAUCUACAGCAAACCUAAGAUCUUUGCUGUCCUAUUUCACAGGUUCUUUCUGCUGCCACCUCCAUUGUCACCAACAUUCAGCUUUUCAUCUCUUCUAAAACAACUACGAUUUUCUUGUUUUGUCCUUGAGAAGUACUUUCUUUAGUAUGCAGGGAUAAACAGAAAAAAGAUAUCUUAAGUGCAGCAUUGUUUCCUAUCAGCAACACAGAUCAUGUGAAAAUAACCUUUAAGAAGAGCCUGGAAGGGAGAAGUAUUUUUUUUUUAUGGAACAAGAUACUUCACUGUCACUGAAGCUCUAGCACUGCCCUAAACUGCUGCUCAUUUGAAAUAAUACUCUUAAAAAACAAGCAUUUUUUGCAAGGAUGUUUGCUUUCUAUAUGUAUAAUAACAAAAGCUUAAUACUCAACUAAUCAUUACCUGCCAGAUAACAAAGUUCUAACCCAAACAAUUCAUGCAAGCAACAACAGGAAAAAGCCUUACUUAUGUUACACUUAGGUCUGCCACAGAACCUGACAAAACUUUUUUCUUUAUAAUAUUUACAUUCUUAUCAAAGACACUCUAUACAGCAAGCCUGACAGCAAUGAUCUGUUAAGACCUACAAAUUAAUCUGUAAUAUUAUCUCAGAUUUUGUUUACGACUCCCAUGAUAUUUCAAGCCAUAUGUUCAAAUCAAUGAACCACAUGGCAGAUUAUAAAAUAUACAAAGCUUUGAGGUUUUAGAUCCUUUCUUUCAAACAUCCAGGAAUUUACUGAACACCUUUGGAUUCAAAAGUUACUGUUUAAAAAGAAACACAGAAUAAACCCCACAUAAACUACCAGCAAAAUUUUAAAGUAUGCUGAGGACACUUCCUCAAUAAACUCCUUAGUCAUCAAGAGUUUUGUGGUUUCCUGGAGGUGGAAAUGCCACUUCAGUGCCAGUACCUCCCAUUCCAGUAAGAAAAUGAGAUUUCACAAAUUGUACUCUGUGCUCAACACACAGGAUUCACGACACAAACCUUACAAUGACUAUACCCUCGGAGCACUGGGAAACUGACAAGUCAACACUCUGCAAAGUUUCUCAAUACCAAGUUCUUUCUCCACACAAAGUCCUACCUUGGUCAGUUUUGGUUGCUGGCUUCCAGUUUUCAGCACUAAUUACUGGCAGACAAACCUGCCCCUUUUCAUCGAUGUUAGGAUGAUAGAUCUUUGUUUUAAAUGUGAUCUUAGGAGGUUUGAAUGGAUAUUCUGCUGGGAAGUUGAUUUCAAUUCUGAAGGCUCCUUUAUCAUAUGGAGGAUUGAACAAUAAGCCCUUGCCAGGUCAAUAAAUUAGCUUCAUCAACCUGGAUAUUACGGAAGUUUUUCAUUCCACAUUUGCGGAUUUCUUCAAGCUCC
ensembl:lncRNA